rnacentral:rRNA from 1 species
GACGAACGCUGGCGGCGUGCUUAACACAUGCAAGUCGAACGGAAAGGCCCCAGCUUGCUGGAGUACUCGAGUGGCGAACGGGUGAGUAACACGUGGGUGAUCUGCCCUGCACUUUGGGAUAAGCCUGGGAAACUGGGUCUAAUACCGGAUAGGACCGCACUUUGGUGUGUGUGGUGGAAAGGUUUUUCUGGUGUGGGAUGAGAUCGCGGCCUUUCAGUUUGUUGGUGGGGGAAUGGCCUACCAAGACGGCGACGGGUAGCCGGCCUGGGAGGGUGGACGGUCACAUUGGGGCUGGGAAACGGCCCAGACUCCUACGGGAGGCAGCAGUGGGGAAUAUUGCACAAUGGGGGAGACCCUGAUGCAGCGACGCCGCGUGGGGGAUGAAGGCCUUCGGGUUGUAAACUCCUUUCGCUAGGGACGAAGCUUUUUGUGACGGUACCUGGUGAAGAAGCACCGGCUAACUACGUG